rnacentral:rRNA from 1 species
UACGAAGGGGGCUAGCGUUGUUCGGAAUUACUGGGCGUAAAGCGUACGUAGGCGGAUUGUUAAGUGAGGGGUGAAAUCCCGAGGCUCAACCUCGGAACUGCCUUUCAUACUGGCAAUCUUGAGUCCGGGAGAGGUGAGUGGAACUCCUAGUGUAGAGGUGAAAUUCGUAGAUAUUCGCAAGAACACCAGUGGCGAAGGCGGCUCACUGGCCCGGUACUGACGCUGAGGUGCGAAAGCGUGGGGAGCAAACAGG